AGAGUUUGAUCCUGGCUCAGAACGAACGCUGGCGGCAGGCUUAACACAUGCAAGUCGAACGGUCUCUUCGGAGGCAGUGGCAGACGGGUGAGUAAUGCAUGGGAAUCUACCGUUCUCUACGGAAUAACUCAGGGAAACUUGUGCUAAUACCGUAUACGCCCUUUUGGGGAAAGAUUUAUCGGAGAAUGAUGAGCCCAUGUUGGAUUAGCUAGUUGGUAGGGUAAAGGCCUACCAAGGCGACGAUCCAUAGCUGGUCUGAGAGGAUGAUCAGCCACACUGGGACUGAGACACGGCCCAGACUCCUACGGGAGGCAGCAGUGGGGAAUAUUGGACAAUGGGCGCAAGCCUGAUCCAGCCAUGCCGCGUGAGUGAUGAAGGCCCUAGGGUUGUAAAGCUCUUUCACCGGUGAAGAUAAUGACGGUAACCGGAGAAGAAGCCCCGGCUAACUUCGUGCCAGCAGCCGCGGUAAUA
rnacentral:rRNA from 1 species